rnacentral:rRNA from 1 species
UACGUAGGGUGCAAGCGUUGUCCGGAAUUAUUGGGCGUAAAGAGCUCGUAGGCGGCCUGUCGCGUCGGCUGUGAAAUCCCGAGGCUCAACCUCGGGUCUGCAGUCGAUACGGGCAAACUAGAGUAUUGCAGGGGAGACUGGAAUUCCUGGUGUAGCGGUGAAAUGCGCAGAUAUCAGGAGGAACACCGGUGGCGAAGGCGGGUCUCUGGGCAAUAACUGACGCUGAGGAGCGAAAGCGUGGGGAGCGAACAGG